rnacentral:rRNA from 1 species
CAGGCUUAACACAUGCAAGUCGAGGGGCAUCAGGAAGAAAGCUUGCUUUCUUUGCUGGCGACCGGCGCACGGGUGAGUAACACGUAUCCAACCUGCCCUUUACUCGGGGAUAGCCUUCCGAAAGAAAGAUUAAUACCCGAUGGCAUAAUGAUUCCGCAUGGUUUCAUUAUUAAAGGAUUCCGGUAAAGGAUGGGGAUGCGUUCCAUUAGGUUGUUGGUGGGGUAACGGCUCACCAAGCCUUCGAUGGAUAGGGGUUCUGAGAGGAAGGUCCCCCACAUUGGAACUGAGACACGGUCCAAACUCCUACGGGAGGCAGCAGUGAGGAAUAUUGGUCAAUGGGCGCUAGCCUGAACCAGCCAAGUAGCGUGAAGGAUGAAGGCUCUAUGGGUCGUAAACUUCUUUUAUAUAAGAAUAAAGUGCAGUAUGUAUACUGUUUUGUAUGUAUUAUAUGAAUAAGGAUCGGCUAACUCCGUGCCAGCAGCCGCGGUAAUACGGAGGAUCCGAGCGUUAUCCGGAUUUAUUGGGUUUAAAGGGAGCGUAGGUGGACUGGUAAGUCAGUUGUGAAAGUUUGCGGCUCAACCGUAAAAUCGCAGUUGAUACUGUCAGUCUUGAGUACAGUAGAGGUGGGCGGAAUUCGUGGUGUAGCGGUGAAAUGCUUAGAUAUCACGAAGAACUCCGAUUGCGAAGGCAGCUCACUGGACUGCAACUGACACUGAUGCUCGAAAGUGUGGGUAUCAAACAGGAUUAGAUACCCUGGUAGUCCACACAGUAAACGAUGAAUACUCGCUGUUUGCGAUAUACAGUAAGCGGCCAAGCGAAAGCAUUAAGUAUUCCACCUGGGGAGUACGCCGGCAACGGUGAAACUCAAAGGAAUUGACGGGGGCCCGCACAAGCGGAGGAACAUGUGGUUUAAUUCGAUGAUACGCGAGGAACCUUACCCGGGCUUAAAUUGCAGUGGAAUGAUGUGGAAACAUGUCAGUGAGCAAUCACCGCUGUGAAGGUGCUGCAUGGUUGUCGUCAGCUCGUGCCGUGAGGUGUCGGCUUAAGUGCCAUAACGAGCGCAACCCUUAUCUUUAGUUACUAACAGGUCAUGCUGAGGACUCUAGAGAGACUGCCGUCGUAAGAUGUGAGGAAGGUGGGGAUGACGUCAAAUCAGCACGGCCCUUACGUCCGGGGCUACACACGUGUUACAAUGGGGGGUACAGAAGGCAGCUAGCGGGUGACCGUAUGCUAAUCCCAAAAUCCUCUCUCAGUUCGGAUCGAAGUCUGCAACCCGACUUCGUGAAGCUGGAUUCGCUAGUAAUCGCGCAUCAGCCACGGCGCGGUGAAUACGUUCCCGGGCCUUGUACACACCGCCCGUCAAGCCAUGGGAGCCGGGGGUACCUGAAGUACGUAACAGCAAGGAUCGUCCUAGGGUAAAACUGGUGAC